rnacentral:rRNA from 1 species
GACGAACGCUGGCGGCGCGCUUAACACAUGCAAGUCGAACGGAAAGGCCCUGCUUUUGUGGGGUGCCCGAGUGGCGAACGGGUGAGUAACACGUGAGUAACCUGCCCUUGACUUUGGGAUAACUUCAGGAAACUGGGGCUAAUACCGGAUAGGAGCUCCUGCUGCAUGGUGGGGGUUGGAAAGUUUCGGCGGUUGGGGAUGGACUCGCGGCUUAUCAGCUUGUUGGUGGGGUAGUGGCUUACCAAGGCUUUGACGGGUAGCCGGCCUGAGAGGGUGACCGGCCACAUUGGGACUGAGAUACGGCCCAGACUCCUACGGGAGGCAGCAGUGGGGAAUAUUGCACAAUGGGCGGAAGCCUGAUGCAGCAACGCCGCGUGCGGGAUGACGGCCUUCGGGUUGUAAACCGCUUUCGCCUGUGACGAAGCGUGAGUGACGGUAAUGGGUAAAGAAGCACCGGCUAACUACGUG